rnacentral:rRNA from 1 species
GACGAACGCUGGCGGCGUGCCUAAUACAUGCAAGUAGAACGCACAGUUUAUACCGUAGCUUGCUACACCAUAGACUGUGAGUUGCGAACGGGUGAGUAACGCGUAGGUAACCUGCCCGGUAGCGGGGGAUAACUAUUGGAAACGAUAGCUAAUACCGCAUAAUAUUAAUUAUUGCAUGAUAAUUAAUUGAAAGGUGCAAUUGCACCACUACCAGAUGGACCUGCGUUGUAUUAGCUAGUAGGUGAGGUAACGGCUCACCUAGGCGACGAUACAUAGCCGACCUGAGAGGGUGAUCGGCCACACUGGGACUGAGACACGGCCCAGACUCCUACGGGAGGCAGCAGUAGGGAAUCUUCGGCAAUGGACGAAAGUCUGACCGAGCAACGCCGCGUGAGUGAAGAAGGUUUUCGGAUCGUAAAGCUCUGUUGUAAGAGAAGAACGGGUGUGAGAGUGGAAAGUUCACACUGUGACGGUAUCUUACCAGAAAGGGACGGCUAACCACGUG